AAGCUCGCCUCGCACAGUCGCGCCCCUCCAUCCCCUCUUCAGAUGCGGCUACAACUGGAGAAGCCUAUCGUCUUAGGAGCCGAGGUUGAAUUGAUGGACGACGGGCGCCUCCAGGGCGCAGCAGCAGACGCGGGCGGGCGAGGUGCGCCCUAGGGGUGCAGGCUGCUGGCCGAGGGGCCCGGGCGGAGUGCGGGCGGGAGGUUCCUCCCGGGGCGAACCUGGCACUGGGCUCUCCCCGAUCUUCGUGCGGGGGCAUCUACCCCGCCGUCUGCAGCCCCAAGAUCCCACCGCCUCCACUCUGCAGCCCCGGCCUGUCCCAUCCACUCGUUCUUUUUGGCACUGCCCUUUGCCCUCCCAUGGAGUCAUCUGUUUACUCUCCCUUCACUUCCAGUCACCCAUAGGUCACCCUCCCUCUACCACAGUCACCCAUUUUGUCCCCUCUCCCUUCUCUCCUCACUCUUCACCUCUCCCCAGGUCGCCUUCUUAGAGGACUCCGCCGACGGAGAUGCUGCGGACCCCGCGGCCAGGGUCUGCUCCCCGGGGAACCCUCCGUCCACCUUUGCCCCCUCCCCGGGGGCGCAGGACGCAAGUUUCCGCUCCGUCCUUUCCCCAGUGACAGGACUUGGCUGCGGCCACGGCCAGGGAGGCGGGGGGAGGGACUGCCUGGCUCCCGAGCCCCCUCCCCUGAUCGCGAGCUCUGCGCGGUCUGUGUCUCUCUCGGCAAGUGCGGAGACGCGGCGGAGGAGGAGGAGGAGGAGGGAGUUGGGGGAGGAUCUCCAUUGAAAUAAACAACCAGGCAGCAGUUAUUAACACGGGAACAUGGCGGCCGCAGCCUCAGCCACAGCUUCGGCGGCGAAGGUCAGCGCCGACGGCAGCCGGCACCUGACGGCGUGACCGACCCAAGCCGAUUUCUCUUGGAUUUGGCUACAAAUUUAUAGAUCUUCUGCACUGUGUACAGGCACAGUUGCUGAUAUGUGUUCAAGAUGAGUGGGAUGGGAGAAAAUACCUCUGACCCAUCCAGGGCAGAGACAAGAAAGCGUAAGGAAUGUCCUGACCAGCUUGGACCCAGCCCCAAGAGGAGCACUGAGAAACGUAAUCGUGAACAGGAAAAUAAAUACAUUGAAGAACUUGCAGAGCUGAUUUUUGCUAAUUUUAACGAUAUAGACAACUUUAACUUCAAACCUGACAAAUGUGCAAUCUUAAAAGAAACUGUGAAGCAAAUUCGUCAGAUCAAAGAACAAGAGAAAGCAGCAGCCGCCAACAUAGAUGAAGUGCAGAAGUCAGACGUGUCAUCCACCGGGCAGGGUGUCAUCGACAAGGAUGCACUAGGGCCUAUGAUGCUUGAGGCCCUUGAUGGGUUCUUCUUUGUAGUGAACCUGGAAGGCAACGUUGUGUUUGUUUCAGAGAAUGUGACACAGUACCUAAGGUAUAACCAGGAAGAGCUGAUGAACAAAAGCGUAUAUAGCAUCCUGCAUGUUGGGGACCACACUGAAUUCGUCAAAAACCUGCUGCCAAAGUCCAUAGUGAACGGGGGAGCUUGGUCUGGCGAACCUCCCAGGCGGAACAGCCAUACCUUCAAUUGUCGGAUGCUGGUAAAACCUUUACCGGAUUCAGAAGAGGAAGGUCAUGAAAACCAGGAAGUACAUCAGAAAUAUGAAACUAUGCAGUGCUUUGCUGUCUCUCAACCAAAGUCCAUCAAAGAAGAAGGAGAAGAUUUGCAGUCCUGCUUGAUUUGUGUGGCUAGAAGAGUCCCCAUGAAGGAGAGACCAGUUCUUCCCUCAUCAGAAAGUUUCACUACUCGCCAAGAUCUCCAAGGCAAGAUCACGUCGCUGGACACCAGCACCAUGCGGGCAGCCAUGAGGCCGGGCUGGGAGGACCUGGUGAGGAGGUGCAUCCAGAAGUUCCACGCGCAGCACGAAGGGGAGUCUGCGUCGCACGCCAAGAGGCAUCACCAUGAAGUGCUGAGACAGGGACUGGCCUUCAGUCAGAUCUAUCGUUUCUCCUUGUCCGACGGCACUCUCGUGGCUGCACAAACGAAAAGCAAGCUCAUCCGCUCUCAGACUACUAACGAACCUCAGCUCGUGAUAUCUUUACACAUGCUGCACAGGGAGCAGAAUGUGUGUGUAAUGAAUCCGGAUCUGACUGGACAAGCGAUGGGGAAGCCAUUGAAUCCAGUUAGCUCUAGCAGCCCUGCCCACCAGGCCAUGUGCAGUGGGAACCCCGGUCAGGACAUGACCCUAGGUAGCAAUAUAAAUUUCCCCAUGAACGGCCCAAAGGAACAAAUGGGCAUGCCCAUGGGCAGGUUCGGUGGUUCCGGGGGAACGAACCACGUGUCGAGCAUGCCGGCGGCCACUCCUCAGGGUAGUAACUAUGCACUCAAGAUGAACAGCCCCUCACAAGGCAGCCCGGGCCUGAAUCCAGGGCAGCCCAGCUCCAUGCUGUCACCGAGGCACCGCAUGAGCCCUGGCGUGGCCGGAAGCCCUCGGAUCCCCCCCAGUCAGUUUCCCCCCGCAGGAAGCUUGCAUUCGCCCGUGGGAGUUUGCAGCAGCACAGGAAAUAGCCAUAGCUACACCAACAGUUCCCUCAACGCGCUGCAGGCCCUCAGCGAGGGGCACGGGGUCUCGCUGGGCUCGUCGCUGGCUUCGCCGGACCUCAAAAUGGGCAACUUGCAAAACUCCCCGGGGAAUAUGAAUCCUCCCCCGCUCAGCAAGAUGGGAAGCUUAGACUCCAAAGACUGUUUCGGACUCUACGGGGAGCCCUCGGAAGGUCCAGCCGGGCCAGCAGAGAGCAGCUGCCACCCGGGGGAGCAAAAGGAUGCCGGCGAGGCCGGGGGCGGCGAGAGGCCUGACGGGCAGGGCAGACUGCAUGACGGCAAGGGGCAGACCAAACUCCUGCAGCUGCUAACCACCAAAUCCGACCAGACGGAGCCUUCGCCCUUGCCCGGCGCUCUGUCGGACACCAGCAAGGACUCCACGGGCAGCUUGCCUGGCUCUGGGUCGACGCACGGAACCUCGCUCAAGGAGAAGCAUAAGAUUUUGCACAGACUCCUGCAGGACAGCAGUUCCCCCGUGGACUUGGCGAAGCUGACAGCGGAAGCCACGGGCAAAGAGCUGAGCCAGGAGGCCAGCAGCACAGCUCCUGGGUCCGAGGUGACUAUUAAGCAGGAGCCAGUGAGCCCCAAGAAGAAAGAGAAUGCACUACUUCGCUACCUGCUCGAUAAAGAUGAUACUAAAGAUAUCGGUUUACCGGAAAUCACCCCCAAACUGGAGCGACUGGACAGUAAGACAGACCCUGCCAGUAACACGAAAUUAAUCACGAUGAAAACUGAGAAGGAGGAGAUGAGCUUUGAGCCCGGUGACCAGCCUGGCAGUGAGCUGGACAACUUGGAGGAGAUUUUGGAUGAUUUGCAGAAUAGUCAAUUACCACAGCUUUUCCCAGACACGAGGCCAGGCGCCCCUGCUGGAUCAGUUGACAAGCAAGCCAUCAUCAAUGACCUCAUGCAACUCACAGCCGAGAGCAGCCCUGUUACACCUGCUGGAGCCCAGAAAACAGCGUUGCGAAUUUCACAGAGCACUUUUAAUAACCCACGACCAGGGCAACUGGGCAGGUUAUUGCCAAACCAGAAUUUACCACUUGACAUCACAUUGCAAAGCCCAACUGGUGCUGGACCUUUCCCACCAAUCAGAAACAGUAGUCCCUACUCAGUGAUACCUCAGCCAGGAAUGAUGGGUAAUCAAGGGAUGAUAGGAAACCAAGGAAAUUUAGGGAACAGUAGCACAGGCAUGAUUGGUAGUAAUGCUGCCCGGCCCACCCUGCCGUCUGGGGAAUGGGCACCUCAGAGCGCUGCUGUGAGAGUCACCUGUGCUGCUGCCACCAGUGCCAUGAACCGGCCGAUCCAAGGAGGUAUGAUUCGGAACCCAACCGCCAGCGUCCCCAUGAGACCCAACAGCCAGCCUGGCCAAAGACAGAUGCUUCAGCCUCAGGUCAUGAAUAUAGGGCCAUCUGAAUUAGAGAUGAACAUAGGGGGACCUCAGUAUAGCCAACAACAAGCGCCUCCAAAUCAGACCGCCCCCUGGCCUGAAAGCAUCCUGCCGAUAGAACAGGCACCGUUUGCCAGCCAGAACAGGCAGCCGUUCGGCAACUCUCCAGAUGACAUGCUGUGUCCACAUCCUGCAGCGGAGUCUCCAAGUGAUGAAGGCGCUCUCCUGGACCAGCUGUACUUGGCCUUGCGGAACUUCGAUGGCCUGGAGGAGAUCGACAGAGCUCUGGGGAUACCCGAGCUGGUCAGCCAGAGCCAAGCGGUGGAUCCAGAGCAGUUCCCAAGUCAGGAUUCCAACAUCAUGCUGGAGCAGAAGGCCCCCGUGUUCCCGCAGCAGUAUGCACCUCAGGCGCAGAUGGCCCAAGGCAGCUACACUCCCAUGCAGGAUCCAAGCUUCCACACCGUGGGGCAGCGGCCGAGCUACGCCACGCUCCGCAUGCAGCCCAGACCCGGCCUCAGGCCCACGGGCCUGGUGCAGAGCCAGCCCAACCAGCUGAGGCUUCAACUGCAGCAUCGCCUCCAAGCACAGCAGAAUCGCCAGCCACUCAUGAAUCAAAUCAGCAAUGUUUCAAACGUGAACCUGACUCUGAGGCCUGGAGUACCCACACAGGCACCUAUUAACGCACAGAUGCUGGCCCAGAGACAGAGGGAAAUCCUGAACCAGCAUCUUCGACAGAGACAAAUGCAUCAGCAACAGCAAGUUCAGCAGCGAACUCUGAUGAUGAGAGGACAGGGGCUGAACAUGGCGCCCAGCGUGGUGGCCCCUAGCGGUGUGCCGGCCACUAUGAGCAGCCCCCGGGUCCCCCAGGCAAAUGCGCAGCAGUUUCCCUUCCCUCCGAACUACGGAAUAAGUCAGCAGCCUGAUCCAGGCUUUGCUGGGGCCACCGCGCCCCAAAGCCCUCUGAUGUCGCCCCGGCUGGCGCACACGCAGAGCCCCAUGCUGCAGCAGUCCCAGGCGAACCCGGCCUACCAGGCCUCCUCGGACAUGAACGGGUGGGCGCAGGGGAGCAUGGGCGCAAACAGCAUGUUUUCGCAGCAGUCCCCUCCACACUUCGGACAGCAGGCAAACACCAGCAUGUACAAUAACAAUAUGAACAUCAAUGUAUCCAUGGCGACCAACACAGGUGGCAUGAGCAACAUGAACCAGAUGACCGGACAGAUCAGCAUGACCUCAGUGACCUCCGUGCCUACGUCAGGGCUGUCCUCCAUGGGUCCCGAGCAGGUUAAUGAUCCUGCUCUCAGAGGAGGCAGCCUUUUCCCAAGCCAGCUGCCUGGAAUGGAUAUGAUUAAGCAGGAGGGAGAUGCACCACGGAAAUACUGCUGACACUGAAGGUAGCUGGUUGCUUCUUUCUUCAGCUGACUGGGCUCACUUGCUCAAGAUGCUUACCAGCCUGGAGAGCUGCGUCUAUUUGUUUCCACCCAACCGACCUGCCAUCCAGUCCCGCCAGAGCAAGAUGGGCAGACGGGCCUGGGCCCCGCUGCCCCGGUAGAGUCCCCUCGGCUGCCGCAGGAGGAGCUGCCUCUUGUGUUGACAGACGUUCUGCAGCCCGUGUCCGGACAGCUGUCAGUCUGUUCACUGCAUUCACCUUAGUGCAACUUAGAUCUCUCCUGCAAAGUAAAUGUUGACAGGCAGACUUCAUACCCGUGUCAGAUUGAAUGUAUCUAAAUAAACAUGCAUUCACUGGCAAGGAGAGGAGCAAAGUUAGGACUUGAUACCCAUCAGACUUUGGACACCUGCUUUGAAAGCAUAUUCAUUCUCUUCCCCAGCAACACUGGUCCACCAAACAGGAGAAAAUAAUAGUGUGCUUAAAAUUGACAGCAGACAUCACGACAGAGUUCACCUCCACCAUGUGUUUUUUAUUUUGUUUUUUAGCAGUGCUGACUAAGCCGAAGUUUUGUAAGGUACAUAAAAUCCAAUUUAUAUGUAAACGAGCAAUAAUUUAAGUUGAGAACUUAAGUGUUUUAAUUGUAUAAUUUUUGUGAGGUAUACAUAUUGUGGAACUGACUCCAAAAUGAGGUACUUCAGUAUUAAAAUUAGAUAUCUUCAUAGCAAUGUCUCCUAAAGGUGUUUUGUAAAGGCUGUCACGGCCUCGAUUAGACCUGAUUUGUAGACUUAAGACUUUUUAUUUUCUAAACCUUGUGAUUCUGCUCAUAAGUCAUUUAUCUAACCUAUAUGAUAUGCAGCCGCUAUAGAAACCGAUUCUUGAUUUUUAUAUGUUUAUAUUCUUUCUUAAUGAACCUUAGGAAGACUACGUGUUACUAAGCAGGCCACUUUUCUGGUUGUUUUUCUUGCCCACUCUGGUAGGGGAACAAUCUUUUCUUAAUUGGCAUCAGUUUCAGACAACUGUAAUACCAAGAAACUGGUGACCUUUUUUGAGCAAUUUCUCCCCAACCCCUAAUACACAUACUUUCUUACCUAAAUUUCAGAAUGAUGUCUUUUCGAUGUCUAAAAAAGCAAAGCAUUUUAUAUCUCAUUAGCCAGGCUUUUUAGGAACAAGAGAGGUUUUUCCUUGAAAUUUGAUUCCUUAUUUGUGGCAGGGUGAAAAAUAUACAAACUACCCCUAUUUAUACGUAUAUCUCUCUCUAUAUGUACAGAUUAUGGACGUAUGGAAAGAGAUAUAGCCCAAAGAUGAACGGUAAGUAGACAGUCUGAAAGCGUGGUUCCAUACUAAAGAAAUUUUCGGAAACUUUGCAUUUCGCUACUUUUUUCCACUUGAGGGGGUCUCGCUGCAGGGAGGUGGCCGAGGAACAGCACCUCUUGGGGGCCACCAGUUCACAUGUCCCUCCUGGAAGGCAGGCUCUGCUUUUCUCAACCGAACCAUUGGGUCGCCCAACUGUGACAGGAAAACACGGGCAGAUGUUGGCCCUGAACUCCGUGUCCUCACUGGCACCACAAGGCUUAUGUCAUACACGGUGUAACGUGACCAGUUCCAAGUCGAUCUCUAGAAACGCGUGAAUUAGAAUGACUUUAACUUCACACAGCACGGAAGAGAAAUGGAGUUUAAGCUGGAUUUGUUUGUUUUGAGUUCUAAGUCCCUUUUCACUAGAACACUGUCCAAAAAUACCUGUGUACCUGUUCUUGUUUAUUCCUCCGCCCACCGUGUUCUACUGUCAGUCCCAGUUCAGACAAAUCUGCAAACCUGGGAUACUGGUAAUUUGGAAUAAUUCAUGAUCAUUACCGUUUUGAAGGAAAAGAGAUGAUCUGUUCUCUUACGGCGCAGAUCAGGUCGUGGAUUUUACAUCUAAUUAAGAGAAGAAAAGUCAGUCAGUGAAGGAAUCCUCUGAUCACAUUGAUCGUGAUAGAAGCAAAAGCCAAAUCAAUCCCUCCAUGAUCAGUAUUUCUCAUGCUGUAUACAAUAAACUUGUUAGACUGAGUACUUGGUUUUCGUUUAAUAGAACAAAUAAUCAGUGUUUUACUUAUAUAACUAAAUGUGAAAAACACAUAAUGUGAAAAGUAUACAUACAUUAACUUGGUUGUGAAACUCAUCUACGUGUUCAUGUGAUGUGGUAAGUUGAAAAAGUGAAGUGAGCUGUUUUCCUGCAAUGAAUUCGUUGAACUCAAAGAUGAAAAUGCCCCCUCCCACGUGUAUCUCUUACGGCCUGUAACAAUUGAAAGCAAUGUUUUUGCAGUUUAUAUAAUGCAGUUUUUAAUGCGUUUAAAAACGGAGUUCCUAUGGGCUUAACACAUGAAAUGGGUGGCACAGAUCCCCUUGCAGAACCCAAAGAUACACAAUCAAUUUUGAAAUGCAACUUAAGCCAUUAAUUGUUGGUGUGAAUUUAAAAUUUUCUAGUAUUUGUAUGGUAGUAUGCUGCCUAAGAGCAAAGCAUUCUCUGCACAAAAGAAAAUUACUGUAGUGGCUUCGAUUUCAAUUAGAAUUUUCUCCCUGGUGUUUCUUUAUAGACUAAAAUGAAAUCUUUUAAGUUUCUUACUACAGGUAAAAGCUAUGUGCAAGAACCUCAAAAUGCUAAAAUCUAGCAUAAUGCCUUAGAUCUGUUUUUAAGUCUUGUAUAUUCCUACAUAGCUGUCCGAUGUAUUAUAUUUGUAUAGUGAACUGUGUACAAUUUUUUGAAUAAGUGCAUCAUCACCGAACCUUUAUGUUGUCGGAUGGUGAUGAUGAUACAUUUCUUCAAACAUUUAACUGUCUUUUUUUUUUUUUUUUUUCUUAUUCCAUUUGUGGGUUUUAUUUGUACAGUUCCUCAUGAAGUUGCAUCUGAGAUGUGUGUAUAUGAAAAGAUUAUACAAGGGUAAAAUUAAGCAAUAUAUUAACUAUGGUUCUUCAGGAGAAAGCUUACAGUGUUUCAGGUUGUGAUUUAUUUUCAAAAUGGAGUUGACUCCGAACAUCACUUUGUUCACCUGCAUUGAUGUUUGUAUUUCUAGUGUGAGCAGUUUAUGCAAAAGGUAGAUAUAUUCAGAGAAAUUUUAAAUACAUUUAUGCAAGUUAAUAUUGCUUUGCUGAUGCUAUUUGCUUAUUUGAUGUUAAAUAAUGCUAUUGUAAAUAAAGAAUUCUGUUGUUAUUGCAUCAUUUAAUAAAUUUUAAUGCCUUCGGGUUUUA